ACAAGCCGAUGAUCGGUACGGGUUGUGAGAGCAAGAGCCCGGAGAUGGAUUCUGAGACACGAAUCCAGGCCCUACGGGGCGCAGCAGGCGCGAAAACUUUACACUGCGCGAAAGCGCGAUAAGGGGACCCUGAGUGCGUCGCAAUGCGUCGCUUUUCAGAUGCCUAAAAAGCAUUUGGAAUAAGGGCCGGGCAAGACCGGUGCCAGCCGCCGCGGUAACACCGGCGGCUCGAGUGGUGGCCGCUAUUAUUGGGCUUAAAGGGUCCGUAGCCGGACCGGUUAGUCCAUUGGGAAAUCUUAUAGCUCAACUAUAAGGCGCCAAUGGAUACUGCUGGUCUUGGGACCGGGAGAGGCAAGAGGUACCUCAGGGGUAGGAGUGAAAUCCUGUAAUCCUUGAGGGACCGCCAGUGGCGAAGGCGUCUUGCUAGAACGGGUCCGACGGUGAGGGACGAAAGCUAGGGGCACGAACCGGAUUAGAUACCCGGGUAGUCCUAGCCGUAAACGAUGCGAGCUAGGUGUCACGUGGAUUGCGAAUCCGCGUGGUGCCGUAGGGAAACCGUGAAGCUCGCCGCCUGGGAAGAACGGCCGGCAGGCUGAAG
rnacentral:rRNA from 1 species